UUUAUCAUUUUUAAAUAAUCAUUGUUUUCAUGGAAACGCACAUUGUUGUAAUCAUUUUACCAUAAUAUGACACAUAUAUUGUUGACAAAGCAACACUAUUAUCUGAAAUUGGCUCAGAAUCGUUUUUUCGUUAUCAAUGAUUUAAAGUUGCUACACAUAUAUACAUUAAAUUUCCUUCAAUAAUCCUACCUUCCCAACUUCCCACCUAUAAGAGUGGCUGCACCUACGUAUGAAGUAUAUCCGACCAUUUUAUUUACAUAAUUACACAACUAUAGACAAAAACUGGUUAAACAAAUAUAUUAUACAUUUUUUCUCUAGACAAAUUUAUUUUAAUUAUGACUACUAAAAAAUAUUAAUGAAUCAUUUAAUUUAAAUUGUUCUGACAAUUGACAAACAAAUGCGCAUUGGUAAGGCGUAUACUGCAGCAUAUAUAUCACUUUAAUGACCAUUUUUUUUUUUUCAUUUGUACCGACGGAUUUUUUUAAUUUUUUUUAACGGUUGUUCACAAUUACAUUUUUUCGCAUGACAUUCAUAUCAUCGUAUACAGAAAACAUGUUCAUUCCCGCACAAAAAUGUUAAGUGUUUUGAGAUAAUAACAUUAUAGUAUAAUAUAUUAAGUAAUUUCGUGGGAACUGCACAGCUGCUUACUGCCAGUGUGCCUAAGGAGUUACAGCAAAACACGUUAUUCGAAAAAUAUUAU